ACAAUAAUUAUUCCUUCAAUAUUUAUCCUUUCUUGUCCCAUGGAGCGUUCAAAAUUUAUCCUUUAGGAGGUGUGGGUGAGUCAUGGCUGUCAAAUUGGUGCUCUUCAUCCUAUUGUUAGCAUGGCUUAUCAAAGCAUCAUCACCAACAUCAUCCUCUAUGUCAAAGCCUGAAUGUCAAGACAUGUGUGGAAACGUUGUAAUUCCAUACCCAUUUGGAAUUGGAGCAGGCUGUUACAUGGAUCCAUGGUUUGAAGUAUUCUGCGACGAAUCUUCUCUCCCUCAUAAACCUUACAUAGGUAGCAUCAACCUGGAACUGCUAGAAGUUUCACUGGAAGGCACUGUUCGUGUCAACAAUUCUGUGCUUUCUUCUAAUUGUCAGGACAAAGCUCCUACUGCAGACGUAAGCUUAUCAGGCAGCCCCUUUUCGUUUUCAGAUACUCGCAACUGGUUCACAGCCCUGGGAUGUGGCAAUCUUGCCUUGAUUCACAGCCAAGACAUGGUUAUUGGUGGUUGCGUGUCAAUUUGCAAUAAAACUGUCAAGAAAAGAAGCUGCAAUGGCAUAAAUUGUUGUCAGAUCACAAUCCCACCUGACCUCAAGUUCAUUAAUGCGACGUUUAUAAGAAUCUCUGCUUCUCAGGAUCAUAAGGAAUGCAAGGUUGCCUUUAUGGUUGACAAAGAAUGGUUCCAAUCCAGUUUGAUAGAUCGAUAUAGGGUCUUGGAUUAUGUUCCGGUUGUGUUGGAGUGGGGGAUCAGUGACGGGACUUGCAUAGAUUGGUCUCAAAGAAACUCUACUGGGGGAUAUUCAACCGAUCUCUGUGGUACCAGUGCUUACUGUUCGAAUAAAAUUGGCAUAUAUUACGGAUGUUCUUGCUAUGAGGGCUAUGAAGGAAAUCCAUACCUUUCUUGUCAAGGUAUCAAUGAAUGCCCUGAUGAUUAUUUUUAUGCGAGAGGAAACUGCCAUUCCAAACUACGGGUUAAAGUGGUGAUCAUUAUUGGUAUCUCUUCGCCUUCCCAUAUUCUUGCCUUUUAUUUUAUAUUUUAGUUUAUUUUUUCAUUUUUCUUUUUAUUAAUUUAGUCAUUCUUCAUUGAUAUUGUGACUUUCUGCACAUGCAUGUUCACAAGAAUAAUUUUAUAUCUUUAAAUUUUAUAUCUUUAUUACAUUUCACGUGUAAAAUCCAUUUGGCUUGAAGCGUGAAUAAACACAAGUUCACUUUACUUGCUUUGUGCUGAAUUAUUCAACUAAUAAAUGGGUAGCUAGAAUUCAAACUAUGCACCUUUUGAUCUGACAUGUCAAGACAGAACUUAACCUACAAGCUUAAACUCGUAGGUAAGACUUCGAGAAUAGUUUCAUAUCUCAAUCAUCUCUGUACAGGUAUAAGUUCUGGUCUUGGGCUACUUUUCCUGAUAGUUGGCUCAUGGUGGCUAUGCAAGGUAUUAAAAAGGCGAAAAGAUUUCAAUCGCCGGCAAAAGUUCUUUAGAAGGAACGGUGGUCUACUUCUGGAACAACAACUAUCUUCGUCUGAAAGUAGUGUCGAAAAAACAAUGUUUACCUCGAAGGAGCUAGACAAGGCUACAGACCAUUAUAACGAGAAUCGAAUCCUUGGCCAAGGAGGCCAAGGCACAGUAUAUAAAGGGAUGUUGUCUGAUGGAAAGCUGGUUGCAAUUAAAAAAUCAAAACUAGUGGACGACAGUAAACUUGAGCAGUUUAUCAAUGAAGUGGUGAUUCUGUCACAGAUUAACCACAGAAAUGUUGUUAAGCUCCUAGGUUGUUGCUUGGAGACAGAAGUUCCUUUAUUAGUUUAUGAGUUCAUUCCUAAUGGAACACUCUUCCAACAUUUACAUGAACCUAAUGAAGAGUUUCCAAUUACAUGGGAAAUGCGUCUACGGAUUGCUGCCGAAGUUGCAGGUGCUGUGUCUUAUUUGCAUUUAGCAGCUUCCAUGCCUAUUUACCAUCGAGAUAUCAAGUCUUCAAACAUUCUCUUGGACAUCAAAUAUAGAGCAAAAGUUUCUGAUUUUGGCACCUCAAAAUCAAUUGCAAUUGAUCAAACACAUGUGACCACUCAAGUACAAGGGACUUUUGGAUAUUUGGAUCCUGAAUUCUUUCAAUCAAGUCAAUUCACAGAAAAGAGCGAUGUUUAUAGCUUUGGAGUAGUUCUUGUUGAGCUUUUAACUGGACAAAAGCCGAUUUCUUGGAUGCGAUCUGUUGAAGAGAGAAGUUUAGUAACAUAUUUCUUACUGUCAAUGGAGCAAAAUCGUUUGUUUGAAAUUCUUGAUGCUCGAGUUCUUAAAGAAGGAGGGAAGGAAGAGAUUAUAGCAGUUGCUAAACUAGCAAAAAGGUGCUUGAACUUGAAUGGAAAGAAGAGGCCUACAAUGAAAGCAAUUGUAAUGGAAUUGGAAGGAAUUAGAGCAUCACAUGGAACUUGUUCAAUCACUGAACAUGAUGAUGAGUAUGAAGAGAUUGAUUUUUCUCAGGGUGAUUACACUGCUCAAUGGGAUGUGGCUUCUUCUUCAACAGUGUCACUUGGAAAUAGUAGUGCACCUGUGACAUCAGAUGGGCAACCUUUACUUUCUAGUUCCUGAUGAUGAAAGGUAGGAUUUCAGGUAUGCCUUUGAUCCAUUGCUUGGACAUGUAUAUGUAUAAAUAUUUGAUUUUAUAGCAUUUAUAGUUGUCAUGUGGUGCCUUAGUUUUAUGAGUUUUAUGUAUAAUUUGACUAAUCCAAUUGUAAGGCAGAGCCCUAUCUUCAGCCUAAGUAAUAUGUACAAUAUUUGAUAUUUUAUGUUAUAUUUUGCUUAAUUCCAAGA
rnacentral:misc_RNA from 1 species